GCGUGAUCAUUGCAGUAGUGGGCAGAGAGGCCUGCGGAGACUGUUCCACUGGUAAAAUGCUUGCCCAGCAAGCACAGAACCUGACUUCAAUCUCCACAAUAGAUUGUGCAUAAAAAGCGAUCAGCUGAGAAUAUAUACCGCUUUCACUGAAGACCUGAGUUUGGUCUUCAGUAGCCAUGCUGGGUAGUUUCUGGCCUUGGACCGAGUAGUCUGGAGGGACAAAGCCUGCUAGUCAAUGAAGUCACAAUCUAAGGACAUUCUGAGAAGACGCGGAAGAGAGAAGUGUCCUGAGGAGGCUGACUGAGAUUAGAUUCUACGCAUGAUACUCUUAGCCCAAGAAACAAAGGUUCCUGAGAGUGGGCUCCCCACAGCAAGAUCUGACCUUAGCUCCCAACUGUGGGAAGGAGCCUGUCUAUUUUAGGAGUGAAGACCUGCAGAGGGGUCACUGCCAAGAUGGUUACUGCCAGGAACGAAACGCUGUCUAACCUGGAGCUUGUCUGAAAGAGCCAGAGGGACCCUGGACAUCCACCUUGGCCUCACAGGUCCGGAGAUGUGUACUUUGCAGACAGGUCAUCCCAAGCCUCAGCUUCUCUAUCUGCUGAGUGAGGAUGUUAGUGUUUCCUGGUAUACUUUUGUGAGAUUUCAUGAAACUGGCCAUCAGCAACAGAGAACCCAACAUUACUAUCAUGAAAUCCAUAUGAAUGAACGCAAGAAUGAACGAGGGCCCAGCUAGCAUGUGGAAUAAAUACACGCAAGAUGAAAUGCCCAAUGUCGAUGUUUGCCUAGGAUUCUCUUGGCUCUCUGAAAACUUCCAAGUACUAAAGCCCGUUGAUUUAGUGCUGACUGAGAGACACCGUGCCUUGGCCCCUCAGUGGAAGUGACCCUAAACUGUGAUCCUGACGACACCCACAGUAGUCGAGGCUGAUGGGAUCCAGACCUGGAUCCACCGUUGCCAUUUGAAGCCUGCUCCUUAGAAACAACAGGACUCAACCCAACGAUGGCCUGUCCAGUCUCAUCCACAGGACCCACUGAAGCUAAGGAUAGUAGGUGAGAGAAACCGAUGGACGGCACAGCCACACUCAAAGGGCCCUCUAAAGAUAAGACUUGUAGAUUGACUAGUAAACUUUGCCUUAUACUUACUA